UUCACCUUCAGGAAGUGAGGAGAUGGCUGCUCCCUGCCAAGAAAGUGCAGCCAGGUUUCUGGCACACACUGAGCAGGCAGAGAGCUGGUGACUGAGGUUGGCAAGGGUGAGGCUUCUUCAAGUGCAGCGCGGCGCCUCCAGUCAGCCAUGGCUCGAGAAAGCCACAGAAGGGGAGAGGGGGCAGCAGCUGAAAUGUUUGCAAGCUUACAGGAAAGCAGAAUAAUAUGCAAAACCAAGAUGAAACAUGUUUCAGGUCUACAUUGCAACUCAAACAGAAAUGACAUGUGACACAGUUUAACAAAGAUCUGCUUAGCUGAAAAAUCCAAUUAAAACCAAUUGUCCUUCGGCUGUGCCUGGCACGCUGCCAUUCCAGCAGUCCAGUGCCGUGAGAAUAAAGUGGAAGAAGAGAAAACGAAACGUGCGGUGACACUUGGGGACAGCGCGGCGAUCGCUGCCCUUUUCCCUGAGGACGGUCGGGCUCGGCACUGCCGGGACAAAAGGGAUGGGCCGGGCAGGAUCCCGGCCCGGCCGCCCCGCCCGAA